GACUACAACAGUAGUGUUAUAACUUCCAAAGUCAGUUGAAGUGUUCAGGGUGCAGUUUGAUCGUGCCAUGAAGCUACAAGUAUUGUGUGUGUGCGCGCUGCUCUGCGCUGUGGCGUGUCGCAGUCUGGAUGAGGGGAGGCAGGGACUCAUCCCGACUACGCAGCUUGGUGACGAUGUCGUCAAAAGCAGAGCGAAAAGACAAUCUGUUCUCACGGAUUCUACUUAUUGUCCUGCCGGAAAAACAUAUAUUUUUGAACGUUGUAUAGACUGUACCGAGUACGAAGAGGUGACGGGAGAAAAAUGUCCGACUCAAUCUUAACCGAGAUCUGCGACGACGACGUCAUCCUGGCGUCCAGGUGGACCCGACGAGGAGUUUUGACAACCUAACAAAUGAUUUCUAUAACUGACUUUUGACAAAAAUAUUUCUUGUUCUCAAAAAUCUUGCAAGUGCUGUAUAUUUUUUUGGUUAAAGUAACAUAAGAUUGGACAUUAUCAUUGUUCUUAAUAUUAAAUCUGUUGAGAGCAAGAAGCUAAUUGCUGAUUUAUCGCGAAAGGUAAAUAAAGGAAGAACCAUGAAUUAUUGUUUUUUCUAAUUUUUAAAGAAAAAAAAUUUAAUUUCAUUCUUGCAACAUUAAUAAAAAUAAAUGACAUUCUAAUAAUAAGCCAGCGUUAUGUUACAAAUAAUUUUGUAGCACUGAAAUAAUUGAAAAUAAAUGUUUUAUUUCUUUUAAAAUAUAAGCAUCACUUCAUUAGGGGUACCCUAUUUGUUACUAACAAUUUAUUGUAAACACUUAUUAUUAUAUUUAUUUCCAUUUUGAACCAAAAUAUGUUUAUCUAUGCGAAAUAAACGUAUUCCAUAAUCAAUAUUUUGUACUAAAACAUUUGCAAUAGAUAUAUGAAAAAAUCC